GACGAACGCUGGCGGCGUGCUUAACACAUGCAAGUCGAACGGAAAGGCCCUGCUUUUGUGGGGUGCUCGAGUGGCGAACGGGUGAGUAACACGUGAGUAACCUGCCCUUGACUUUGGGAUAACUUCAGGAAACUGGGGCUAAUACCGGAUAGGAGCUCCUGCUGCAUGGUGGGGGUUGGAAAGUUUCGGCGGUUGGGGAUGGACUCGCGGCUUAUCAGCUUGUUGGUGGGGUAGUGGCUUACCAAGGCUUUGACGGGUAGCCGGCCUGAGAGGGUGACCGGCCACAUUGGGACUGAGAGACGGCCCAGACUCCUAAGGGAGGCAGAAGUGGGGAAUAUUGAACAAUGGGCGGAGGCCUGAUGCAGCAACGCCGCGUGCGGGAUAACGGCCUUCGGGUUAUAAACCGCUUUCGCCUGUGACGAAGCGUGAGUGAAGGUAAUGGGUAAAGAAGCAACGGCUAAAUACGUG
rnacentral:rRNA from 1 species